UGGUAUUACACAAGCAAUAAUCCAAUAUCUGAAUCUGGUGAAAACUAGAAAACCAAAUUUCGGUGACCAAAUCAGAUCUGAAAAUCAAAACGAUAAACAAUGGAGAACACUAGAUCAAAACAUACAAAAGAACAAAACCCAUCCACAAUCACCGGAAAACAUCAAUGACUAUGGAUUUCAGCCCCAAUAAAGAUACGUAAUAGAGUACAUAAAGCCAGACCGGUCACUUUGGGCACAACAACCGAGCCACCGCAAACCACCAUCUUCGAAAUAGUCCAAACUAGAUCCAAACAACUACGAAUGGGUGGGCUAUAAUGGAGGAAAGGAGGGUGUUUGACCAGGGCAGAAGGCAAAGCAAGCUGGGGAGAAGAUGUCAGUCUAGAUUGGAGCCCAAAAUGACGCCCAGCAUAAUCUAAAAUAAAUAUUUAACUAUAAACACAAAUUAGAUUAAAUUAAAAACUCAACAACCGAGCUGCCCAAAUAGAGCACGGUACGACUAAAAAAACCAGAUCUAAUUUAUGGAUUAGAUGAGCAACAAGCUAAUAAACCAGAUCCGAACAAAGCAUGGAGGCCAUCUUGAUGACGACAUGGAAUGUCUGGA
rnacentral:lncRNA from 1 species